UACAGAGGUCCCCAAGCGUUGUUCGGAUUCACUGGGCGUAAAGGGUGCGUAGGUGGCGGGGCAAGUUUGAUGUGAAAUCUCCGAGCUCAACUCGGAAACGGCAUUAAAUACUGCUUUGCUUGAAGGUCGGAGGGGAGACUGGAAUUCUCGGUGUAGCGGUGAAAUGCGUAGAUAUCGAGAGGAACACCGGUGGCGAAAGCGAGUCUCUGGACGAUUCUUGACACUGAGGCACGAAAGCUAGGGGAGCAAACAGGAUUAGAUACCCGUGUAGU
rnacentral:rRNA from 1 species